rnacentral:rRNA from 1 species
AUUGAACGCUGGCGGCAUGCCUUACACAUGCAAGUCGAACGGCAGCACGGGAGCAAUCCUGGUGGCGAGUGGCGAACGGGUGAGUAAUAUAUCGGAACGUGCCCAGUCGUGGGGAUAACGUAGCGAAAGCUACGCUAAUACCGCAUACGAUCUAUGGAUGAAAGCGGGGGAUCGCAAGACCUCGCGCGAUUGGAGCGGCCGAUAUCAGAUUAGGUAGUUGGUGAGGUAAAGGCUCACCAAGCCGACGAUCUGUAGCUGGUCUGAGAGGACGACCAGCCACACUGGGACUGAGACACGGCCCAGACUCCUACGGAGGCAGCAGUGGGGAAUUUUGGACAAUGGGCGCAAGCCUGAUCCAGCAAUGCCGCGUGCAGGAUGAAGGCCU